rnacentral:rRNA from 1 species
AGCAGCCGCGGUAAUUCCAGCUCCAAUAGCGUAUAUUAAAGUUGUUGCAGUUAAAAAGCUCGUAGUUGAAUUUCGGGAUCAAUAUGUUGGUCGUGCCUCGGUACGUACUAGCUUAUUGGUUUCUCCUUUCUGAAGAACCAUGAUGUCAUUUAUUUGGUGUCGUGGGGAAUCAGGACUGUUACUUUGAAAAAAAUUAGAGUGUUUAAAGCAGGCUCACGCUUGAAUACAUUAGCAUGGAAUAAUGAAAUAGGGCGUUUGAUUCUAUUUUGUUGGUUUUUAGGAUCGACGUAAUGAUUAAUAGGGAUAGUUGGGGGCAUUAGUAUUCAAUUGUCAGAGGUGAAAUUCUUGGAUUUAUUGGAGACUAACUACUG